rnacentral:rRNA from 1 species
UACAGAGGUCUCAAGCGUUGUUCGGAUUCAUUGGGCGUAAAGGGUGCGUAGGCGGUGAAAUAAGUUGGAUGUGAAAUCCCGGAGCUUAACUCCGGAACUGCAUUCAAUACUGUUUUGCUAGAGUACUGGAGAGGAGAUUGGAAUUCACGGUGUAGCAGUGAAAUGCGUAGAUAUCGUGAGGAAGACCAGUGGCGAAGGCGAAUCUCUGGACAGUUACUGACGCUGAGACACGAAGGCCAGGGGAGCAAACGGG